AUACGUAGGUGGCGAGCGUUGUCCGGAAUUAUUGGGCGUAAAGGAUGCGUAGGUGGAUAUUUAAGUGGGAUGUGAAAUCCCCGGGCUCAACCCGGGAACUGCAUUCCAUACUGGAUGUCUAGAGUGCAGGAGAGGAAAGCGGAAUUCCUAGUGUAGCGGUGAAAUGCGUAGAUAUUAGGAGGAACACCAGUGGCGAAGGCGGCUUUCUGGACUGUAACUGACACUGAGGCAUGAAAGCGUGGGUAGCAAACAGGAUUAGAUACCCUGGUAGUCCACGCCGUAAACGAUGGGUACUAGGUGUAGGAGGUAUCGACCCCUUCUGUGCCGUCGUUAACACAAUAAGUACCCCGCCUGGGGAGUACGGUCGCAAGACUAAA
rnacentral:rRNA from 1 species